rnacentral:misc_RNA from 1 species
AAGUCGUAACAAGGUUUCCGUAGGUGAACCUGCGGAAGGAUCAUUAACACGUAUCCACGUACCCACCCUUCGUGCACUCGUUAUUUCUCCCUGUCGGUCUACAUGCAUUGGAACUCUGCAGCGCUGUGAUUGGGACCCGUCACACGGUCGGCACUGCGAGCACACGGAACGCGCCUUGUGCGCAUUCGACAAUGGUAGUAGAACGGCAGGCAACUAUUUCCACUAGGAGCGCCUCCAUCAUGGCGCGACCAGUGGAUGCAUAUUCACACAUUUCACCCCCUUUUUGCUAGUUGACUUUUUUAAUGUUGAGCUGCAUUCAUUUGCCACUCACACGUUUAAUUAAUUGAACGUAAAAUACAACUCUUAGCGAUGGAUAUCUAGGUUCUC